rnacentral:rRNA from 1 species
GAGUUUGAUCCUGGCUCAGGAUGAACGCUGGCGGCGUGCCUAAUACAUGCAAGUCGAGCGAACAGAUAAGGAGCUUGCUCCUUUGACGUUAGCGGCGGACGGGUGAGUAACACGUGGGUAACCUACCUAUAAGACUGGAAUAACUCCGGGAAACCGGGGCUAAUGCCGGAUAAUAUUUAGAACCGCAUGGUUCUAAAGUGAAAGAUGGUUUUGCUAUCACUUAUAGAUGGACCCGCGCCGUAUUAGCUAGUUGGUGGGGUAAUGGCUUACCAAGGCAACGAUACGUAGCCGACCUGAGAGGGUGAUCGGCCACACUGGAACUGAGACACGGUCCAGACUCCUACGGGAGGCAGCAGUAGGGAAUCUUCCGCAAUGGGCGAAAGCCUGACGGAGCAACGCCGCGUGAGUGAUGAAGGUCUUCGGAUCGUAAAACUCUGUUAUUAGGGAAGAACAAAUGUGUAAGUAACUGUGCACGUCUUGACGGUACCUAAUCAGAAAGC